CAUGCCUUACACAUGCAAGUCGAACGGCAGCACGGGUGCUUGCACCUGGUGGCGAGUGGCGAACGGGUGAGUAAUACAUCGGAACAUGUCCUGUAGUGGGGGAUAGCCCGGCGAAAGCCGGAUUAAUACCGUAUACGAUCUACGGAUGAAAGCGGGGGACCUUCGGGCCUCGCGCUAUAGGGUUGGCCGAUGGCUGAUUAGCUAGUUGGUGGGGUAAAGGCCUACCAAGGCGACGAUCAGUAGCUGGUCUGAGAGGACGACCAGCCACACUGGGACUGAGACACGGCCCAGACUCCUACGGGAGGCAGCAGUGGGGAAUUUUGGACAAUGGGCGAAAGCCUGAUCCAGCAAUGCCGCGUGUGUGAAGAAGGCCUUCGGGUUGUAAAGCACUUUUGUCCGGAAAGAAAUCCUUGGUUCUAAUAUAGCCGGGGGAUGACGGUACCGGAAGAAUAAGCACCGGCUAACUACGUGCCAGCAGCCGCGGUAAUACGUAGGGUGCGAGCGUUAAUCGGAAUUACUGGGCGUAAAGCGUGCGCAGGCGGUUUGCUAAGACCGAUGUGAAAUCCCCGGGCUCAACCUGGGAACUGCAUUGGUGACUGGCAGGCUAGAGUAUGGCAGAGGGGGGUAGAAUUCCACGUGUAGCAGUGAAAUGCGUAGAGAUGUGGAGGAAUACCGAUGGCGAAGGCAGC
rnacentral:rRNA from 1 species